rnacentral:lncRNA from 10 species
AAGUACGAUGAUGAAGAUAUCAGCGAAGAUAUCAAAUUUCUUUUGGAAAAACUUGGAGAGAGUGUCCAGGACCUUAGUUCAUUUGAUGAAUACAGUUCAGAACUUAAAUCUGGAAGGUUGGAAUGGAGUCCUGUGCACAAAUCUGAGAAAUUUUGGAGAGAGAAUGCUGUGAGGUUAAAUGAGAAGAAUUAUGAACUCUUGAAAAUCUUGACAAAACUUUUGGAAGUGUCAGAUGAUCCCCAAGUCUUAGCUGUUGCUGCUCACGAUGUUGGAGAAUAUGUGCGGCAUUAUCCACGAGGCAAACGGUAAGAGAAAGCCAUUCAUUUCAUUUGGUUUCUUGAAACCUUCAGUGUAGAGUCCUAAAUAAUGUACUUAUCUAAAAUGGAGUAGGUUAGCAAAGGAACUAACAAAGCAAAUGAAAUCAAGAUUGCCACAAUAGUGAGAAUUAUGAUAAACCCAGUUAAAAAUGAGUAGUAUAGGCCGGUUGCAGUGGCUCACGCCUGUAAUACCACCACUUUGGGAGGCCGAGGCAGGCAGAUCACAAGGUCAGGAGACCAUCCUGGCUAAGAUGGUGAAACCCCUUCUCUACUAAAAAUAC